GCACUGCUGAGGAGUGCCACAAUAGGACGAAACGGCCGUCCAGUGC
rfam:Schistosoma rodhaini strain Burundi genome assembly, scaffold: SROB_scaffold0001432